GAGGGGACAGGGGACAGAGGAGUGGGGCCAGGCGAGCCGGGCACGGGAUGUGUGGGGACGAGGGAUGACCGAGGCCAAGUAGCAGGGGUCCUCAUUACUCUGGAGGAUGGAGCUCCCAAGACCGUGUUCCCCUCUGACCACCAACACCCAAACUGUCCUUUGGAGUGAGCUCCAUCUGGGACGGAGCCACAUCUUCAGCCCAACAGAUUUUUGUUCUCCAUGAAUGAAACUCCAUGUAUUUUCAGGAAGUGCUAAACAUCAUGAUGGUUUUUAUGACUACUGAAGGCAUAAUUGAAGUAUCAUGGGAAGCAGAAGGCUGUGUUAUUAGUCAGCAUGACACCACACACACAUCCAGCUAAUGGAAAAUAAGCAGCUCAAGCAGAUUCCUGAAAAGUAAUGAGGUUGCCUUUUCCUCCUCCCUUCACCCCAGCAGUGCACACACUCCAGAGCAGGAGCUUCUAUUUUGGAAAAAUGGGCAAUUUUGUUGUCAGGACUAUUCAUAUAGAAAUGUCAUUGCAGUGCUUGGUAAAACAAUUCCAUUUCCUCAUCUGCAGUUCUACCUUGUUCCAGGCUUGUGGUAAUGGCAUGGAUAAAACCUUACUCAGAUUCCUGCUAUGUCCUGAUAUGUAGGACAGCUUUUUAACAGCAGGGAGAGUCAGGUAAGAGGACAGAUUCCCUAUGGAAAUUUGGCACUGCUGUAUUUAAGAGCUGACUGGACAAGCACUUGAAGAAGAAUAAUUUAGAUACUCUUAAUCCACUCCUGCACAGAGUAUCUCAAUGACCUUUUAAUGCCUGUUUAACCCUGUCCCAUGGGAAAAUCUUUCCCUCCUCCAGAAGCUUCUGGAUUAUUUCCAGGCAGAAGACCCCUUUUAGCUCUAUCACUUGACCACCACAUUGCUUUAUUAAUCCACCUCCCUUGUUUUUUCCACCUUGGAAAGUACAGCGAGUGCCUGGAGCUGUCACAUACAACAGGGCAGUGAUGGAACCCCAGUCAGGCCCACUUUUCUUCACCUCUGCCAUGAACAGGUAUUUCUUUCCUGUCAAAAGCCUGCACUUCCAAUAAAAACAUGUCCUGCCUUUCAGGACUAGUAUUUUCAUGGCUGAUUCAUGACUGAUGGGGAGUUGCUAAAUCCAGCAGCCCCACAGAGCUGAGGCUGCUGCAGCUCCACACCCCUGGAUCCAGCAGACACACCCACAGAUGUUAAAAUGUGUGUAUCCACUGAUGGUUCAGUGGCCAGCUCAGACAGAAACACUCAGCACUCAGACAAAGAACACCAGUGGCCUCAUCCUCCCCUCUGCUCCGGCAGAUCAGGGUGGAGGUCUGUGAGUGCAAAAUAUUUAUAAAAAUCAUCACAGAAUCCUAGAAUGGUUUGGGCUGGAAGGGACCUUAAAGACCACCCAGUUCCAAUCCCUUGCCGUGGGCAGUGACACCUUCCUCUAGACCAGGUUGCUCAGAGGCCCAUCCAGCCUGCCUUACAAAUAUUAUGGUCAUUUCCAAAUUUCAAAAUAAAAAUAUACACUUCCAGGUAAUACCAUGCAUGAAAUCCAAGGGAAUGGCCUUCAGUUAUGGAAGAGAUACUUGAACAGCAAUUAAGAUUGCAACACUUACACAGUUAACAAUUAUGGGCUGAAAUAAAAGUUAGAUGAAUUAUUUUCCAGCCAUAUAAAUCACUGAAGUUGUUCUAUCCAUCACGAAGGCACUGCAUCCAAGAGCACAAAUUCAUACUUGUACAGGAACAGCACAACCAACAGCUGGAUUUCCAUGAUUGCAAACCACCUGCACGAAAAGGGAGGAAUGCACUGGCCCUCCAGACUGACCAUCACGUGUGUGUUAUUAUCAGGCUGGCACGUCUUGCUUUAGGACUGUGGGUGAAAUACUUCAAGACUUCAAGGCAUUGUUUACACACAAAAAUUGUCAAUAUAUUUCAAAGUGAAUAAACAGACCCAAAUCAGUAAAAUUUAAGAAAAGCCAUUGGACAUAAUUCAAUAAUUUAAGGUAGGUGUAGAUAUGGUGUUAGAAGGGGCCAAACAAAGUCAUGUUGGAAGUUAAAAGUCUUCAGAGUUUUUCUGUGCUUUCACAGGAUACUGCAUGGAAAUCUCAGGGACUGCAGACACCCAGACAAGAAGCCACAGCUGAGCUCUUUGGCUCUGUUAACAUUAGAAAAUGAAACAAGGCCAGGAAAAAGGCUUCAGGAGUUUUCUUUAUUGGUUAAUUACUGAUAUGUUUCUUGAUACAGUUUUGACCCAUGUCAACAAAGAGUCUUCUGUGAAAGUUUAAGGGACUGAAUAUGGGAACCACUGCUCCCAAUAGGUGACUGCUUUCUGAGGGAAACAGGUUAUUCAUGGGAGGGGUGAACCAUGCUGGAAAAAUUUGUCUCUGAUGACAGAGAAGAGAACAGUUCCUGGUCUGUUUUUUAACCAUGAAUAGCUGUAACUCUGGUGAACAGCACACCAUGAAAAGCACCUGAACUGGAAGACCUCAACUAUUAGGUGCCUGGAAAAAGCACAAGACUGGGAAAUACUAAUCUAAGUUUAAGUGAUAGGAAUGGAGAAACAAACACAUAGUGUGCUUUUCCUACUUCCUUCUGCUAACAUUGGAGGUGUUUUUGCUUAAAAAUACGUCUUGAACAUAUACUGAGUAAAGACCUGAGAGCUGGCCUCUAUGCUGUCAGUAGAACCCUUAACUGGAACACUCCUUGUUCCCAGCCACUGACCAAGUGUGCCCUGUGCUGGGCCAACACAGGAUAAAUCACUUCCAGCUUCCAGAAGGACAAAAUCACAUUUAUUACCUGCUUUGCCAAAAACAGAAGCCAGGUCUUCCAUGACUUUCUUGUAAAUGGCAGGAUUAGAGAGUAUGAAAGCAAGGGUCCAAAAUGCAACCUAAACAGAGAUGGAAAUCCUUGAAUUGAGGGACAUGGAGCAGAAUGACAGUAUCUUUUUAGCAAGUCACAGAGGCAGGUGAAAACAUGGGGACUUUUUUUGUAUGUGCCUGCUGUGGCUGAGAUGCAUGAGGAGCUGUGCUUCCUGGGUAAAUCCAUAUCUAAGGGCUCAGCUCCAGGGAGAUUAUGUCUAGUCAUCUGCUGUGUACUUAUCUCUAGUGAACAUUAUACAGCUUUGGCCUUGAGAUUUGAAACACAGAAUCCUUUAUUUUCAAAUAACUAGGUGUUAAAUGAACUACUAAAUCAUCAUGCAUGAUUAGUUUUAGCUGCAGGAAUGAAAGAAAAAUAAAUUCAUACUAGCAUUUGCAGAAACUAGGUUAAAUAAUUUGCAGGGCAUUGUCAUAGUGAGUCACACUAAAAUGGGCAGGAAAAGUUUUAAUUAACAGCAAAACAAGGAGUAGUAUAUCCCCUUUAGAAAUAAUUUGCUAACUGAUUAUGCAAUGAAGUUGAAAAUCAAGAAAUUUAGGAAAGGAGAAAAUCCUCUUAAGCAGGAUGAAACCAGAAGGACUGGCAGCAAUGCCAGGAGUCUCUCUCCUCUUGCUGAGCUAGCGGGAGGUGCAGCCUGCACACAGAUCUGGUCGUGGGCCAUCUGUGCUGGUGAGGGAUGAAACUCUGACUGCUAUUUCCCAAACAGACUGACAUGGAUGCAGCCCUCACCCUGCAAAGCAAAUCUUGUAGCUUAGAUUUCCUGUACAGCACUUGGACACUGUGGCUUCACUCCAUGGGCUAAGAAGGGAUAACUGAAUUGUUUCAGAUAAAAGGGUUUAAAGUGCUUGUAAAAAAUGCCCUUGGAAGGUGAAAGGCCUUUUCUUUCGUCAUUCCAUUCCCCAGAACAGUGGUUGUUACUAUUCUGAGAAACAGAAAAAUAUCUGUAUGUCUAUUUACAGCUGAAUAUUACAGAAGUAAGUGUUGUGGAAGGAAUGUCAGUUAUCCUGAUAACAGACAGCAGGCUAUGCCUCCCACUUACACCAACACGUGAAUCCACAGAAACCUCACUGAAAUGGAUGAAUUUCCCUUAGGCUAAACUGCAGUAAUAUCCAAUCUCCAAAAAACAUAGAUAUAUCCGUUAGGGGAACAUACAAAAAUAACUCACUAUCAUGUUUUUCUAAAUCACAUCUGUAAUGGACAUAACUGUGCUGGAAAGAGCUUAGUAGUCAUGGUAAAUAAAGGAUGUUUUUGCUGCUAUGGAUUUUUCAUCUGAGAAAUUCCUAUAAAUGUCUUUGGUCAGCCUAAGCUGUCUUAGAUAUACUGGGCUUGUUAGCAUAUUUAUAUCAGUGUCAUUAAUCCAGCAAAUCCUUUUCUAACACAGACAAAAUGUAACAGCUCUAGAAUCAAACUAUUGCUUUUCUUCCACUGGCAUUUGUACAGCAGAUCUCCCAAAAAUGAAAGAGAAAAAAUCACUUGAGGGUUUACACACAGAUGAAGUUACUCUAUAUAAUGCUUUUGAUAUUCUUUACAAUUGGUUAUCUGAAACAGUUUUUUCUAUAAUACAGCCACAGUGCUUCAAAACAGAGUUAAAUGCUCUUCACAGCUUAAGACUGUGAUCUUAAUAGCUGUGAGGCUUAUGUUCCUGAAAUGUUAUGACAAGGGACAACAUAAUUUAGGAAAAAUACAAGAAGAGCUUUUCUUGUCAUUGCUUCUGUGACAUUGCAGCCUGGGUAUAUUUGUAGUGAUGCAUGUGGGCGUGAUAAUCCCUUCUUUGGAAUCCAUGGAGUGUGUGUGACCUCUGCUUCAAAGCCUUUCCUUCCCAAAUCCAGGCUUUGGAGCAGGAGAGAGAGAAGGUGUUUCUGCAGCUGAUGUACUUACAGGCACAGCAUUUGCUUGGGCAGCCCAGAGCAUCAGGAGGCCAUAACUGGGAGCUAGAUGUUUUCCCUGCAAGUUAUCCAGGAGAUGUUGCAGAAGUGUCUGUUAAAGAUAAAAUAAAAUAAUCUGUAUUUCCAAGAAUAUAUUAAAAUGUAGUUUGGGGCAGGGCUUACUAGAACUCAAGGACUAGCUUCUCAAAGAGAAGGAAUGUUAGUUAAGGUUUUUUUGGAAGGCACAAUGUAGAGAUGACAGCUAUUAAGAGAAAGUGAUACUCACAUAGGCAGAGGGCAAGGGGAACUCAGUGCACCACAUGAAUUCCGCCUGAAUACUUUCACUGCUCUCCAUUUCCUUAAAGUUCUAGAGGAUUAGGUUCCCUCACUCCCCAUUGCUGCUUGUAUGUGGAAGAAAGGAAAAAAUAAUCUCUAUUCUAAUCCCUUCUCUGCGCCUCUGCUUUAAAGAACCUCAAGAUGGGAAUGAGCCAGUUGAACGAAUGGAAGUGAAGAAAAUGUUCUCUCUGUUCAUGCCAAAAAGGUGCUUGUUAGAAAGAGAUGGUCUGACACAUCAGCAAACUCCCCAGUUUCAGGCACCUUGGUGGUGACCUAAGCAGUGACUUCAAUGGGCUGAUAUUUGAAACUAUAGGAACUGUGUAAUGUUCUAGGAUCAGCUUUUGUUUAUAGCAUUUCCUUGAAUGCAGGGCAAACAUGCACUUGAGGCAAAGCUUCCUGCCUACUUCUCAGAGGGGAAAAGGCUGAUCUUGAAUAAAAAAUGGCUGAUUUUUUUUCCAAAUUCCCAUCCAAUCUAAGACACCAAGUUUGUGCUUCCUGCACCUUCUUACCUCCCACCAGCUCCUCUCCAGCUUUCUCUUUCUUUCUGCUGAUCUGGUUUAUUUUACUAAAUAAACUGAAGUAUGUAAAGCUUUUAAGUCUAAAUAAAACCAGUUUUGUUUAAUGAUCUGUCCUACAACAAUUUGGUAGAUCAAAAUUCCCAGGCCAGUCUGCUGCCACAUUUGUCAGCCCUAUCGGCAGAAUUCCUGCCAGAGCUCAGGAGAAUAACCAGGGGAACAACUUAUCUCAGCUCUGACACAAUCAAUAUUUAGGGUACUUGGCUCCAGUAAUCUGCUAUUUUCUACCAGUCUGGCUGUUGAAGGAUCUGCUCACUCUGCACCAGGGUUUAUAAAUAGCACAUGUAAGGUUUUGAAGUUUCACAGCACGGUG